GAAAUGCGAUAAGUAAUGUGAAUUGCAGAAUUCAGUGAAUCAUCGAAUCUUUGAACGCACAUUGCGCCCUCUGGUAUUCCAGAGGGCAUGCCUGUUCGAGCGUCAUUUCAACCCUCAAGCGAGUCUUUUCUUGCUUGGUGUUGGGGCAUUACCCCUGGGGUAAGCCCUGAAAUCUAGUGGCGAGCUCGCCAGGACUCCGAGCGCAGUAGUGUAAACCUCGCUUUGGACCGUACUGGCGCGGCCUAGCCGUAAAACCCCCCAACUUCUGAAAAUUUGACCUCGGAUCAGGUAGGAAUACCCGCUGAACUUAA
rnacentral:misc_RNA from 1 species